CAAUUGGGUACCAGCAUGCACCUGUUAAACCUCUUUUUAGAUUUGUUUGGGGAGGGUAUCUUUAUUGGUACAUUUCUAUAUGAUAUAUUUAACAAUGGACAAACUAUCAACAAAAACUGAACCAAAGAGAAGAUAUCCAACGCAGCCACUAAGCAAUACAAUAAGUCUCCAACUUAGCAAGAAAACCCGUACCAGGAGAUCAAAUCUAGAUCCUAAAUAUUUAUUUUUUUAUUUUACUAAAUUUCAUUUGAUUCAACUCUGUCUGCACUUUCUGAAAUAUAAAUAUUAUAAAUUUGCAAGAAAAAAUAGAGAAUGUGAUCAACACGCAAGAUGAAGAUGCAUUCCCCAAGUUAGAUAAAGAUGAUAUUAA
rnacentral:lncRNA from 1 species